rnacentral:rRNA from 1 species
ACGCUCGACACCUACGGGCAGCAGCAGUGGGGAAUAUUGCACAAUGGGGGAAACCCUGAUGCAGCGACGCCGCGUGAGCGAAGAAGUAUUUCGGUAUGUAAAGCUCUAUCAGCAGGGAAGAAACUGACGGUACCUGACUAAGAAGCACCGGCUAAAUACGUGCCAGCAGCCGCGGUAAUCUGAGGCGGGCUGGCAAGGC